ACUUCAGGUUUAGUCAAUCUAUAAUGACUAAGGAAGGUCAGGUAGGACUUGGGAAGUGAAUUCAAAAUGGCAUCCUUGCCCAAUUGCUCGUACAAAGGAAAGCCAAGUUUACUUAGGCGAUCGAUUUGUUCGACCAUGUACAGUACAUGAUCGGUGACCGAUGCCCCUUCCCUCAUGCGGGCAUUGAAUAUAGCGCAGGAGGUCUUAUGUCGUUCAACAUCAUCAGGUGUGCCGAAAGACUCCUUCAACAUUUGAAGGAUUUC
rnacentral:lncRNA from 1 species